rnacentral:rRNA from 1 species
UACGUAGGGGGGCUAGCGUUGUCCGGAUUUAUUGGGCGUAAAGAGCGUGUAGGCGGCCAGGUAGGUCUGGUGUGAAAACUCGAGGCUUAACCUCGAGAUGUCAUCGGAAACCAUCUGGCUAGAGUCCGGAAGAGGAGAGUGGAAUUCCUGGUGUAGCGGUGAAAUGCGCAGAUAUCAGGAAGAACACCAAUGGCGAAAGCAGCUCUCUGGGACGGUACUGACGCUGAGGUGCGAAAGCGUGGGGAGCAAACAGG